GUGGGUAUAGCUCAGUGGUGCAGCACAUGCUUAGCAUGCAGGAGGUCCUGGGUUCAAUCCCCAGUACCCCUG
rnacentral:tRNA from 1 species